rnacentral:rRNA from 1 species
UGAGCAAUCUGCCCUUCACAUCGGAAUAACCAUUGGAAACGAUGGCUAAUACCGAAUAUGACUUCGGAUCGCAUGAUCUGAAGUGGAAAGCUCCGGCGGUGAAGGAUGAGCUCACGGCCUAUCAGCUUGUUGGUGAGGUAAUAGCUCACCAAGGCGAUGACGGGUAGCCGGCCUGAGAGGGUGACCGGCCACACUGGGACUGAGACACGGCAGA